rnacentral:rRNA from 1 species
GAUGAACGCUAGCGGAGGCUUAACACAUGCAAGUCGAGGGGCAGCAUAAGGUAGCAAUACUCUGAUGGCGACCGGCAAACGGGUGAGUAACGCGUAUGCAACCUACCCUGUACAGGGGGAUAACCCGGAGAAAUUCGGACUAAUAUCCCGUAAUAAUAGUCCGGAGGCAUCUUUGGGAUAUUUAAAGUUCCGACGGUACGGGAUGGGCAUGCGUAACAUUAACUGGUUGGUAAGGUAACGGCUUACCGAAGGCUAUGAUGUUUAGGGGUCCUGAGAGGGUGGUCCCCCACACUGGUACUGAGACACGGACCAGACUCCUACGGGAGGCAGCAGUGAGGAAUAUUGGUCAAUGGGCGCAAGCCUGAACCAGCCAUCCCGCGUGCAGGAAGACGGCCCUAUGGGUUGUAAACUGCUUUUCCAGGGAAGAGAAACUUACGCACGUGUUGCGUGACUGACGGUACCCUGGGAAUAAGCAUCGGCUAACUCCGUG